rnacentral:rRNA from 1 species
GAGCGGAGUUUUUGAGCUUGCUUCAAAAACGUUAGCGGCGGACGGGUGAGUAACACGUGGGCAACCUACCUUAUCGACUGGGAUAACUCCGGGAAACCGGGGCUAAUACCGGAUAACAUCUAGCACCUCCUGGUGCCGGAUUAAAAGAGGGCUUCUUGCUCUCACGAUGAGAUGGGCCCGCGGCGCAUUAGCUAGUUGGAGAGGUAACGGCUCCCCAAGGCGACGAUGCGUAGCCGACCUGAGAGGGUGAUCGGCCACACUGGGACUGAGACACGGCCCAGACUCCUACGGGAGGCAGCAGUAGGGAAUCUUCCGCAAUGGACGAAAGUCUGACGGAGCAACGCCGCGUGAGUGAUGAAGGGUUUCGGCUCGUAAAGCUCUGUUAUGAGGGAAGAACACGUACCGUUCGAAUAGGGCGGUACCUUGACGGUACCUCAUCAGAAAGCCACGGCUAACUACGUGCCAGCAGCCGCGGUAAUACGUAUGUGGCAAGCGUUGUCCGGAAUUAUUGGGCGUAAAGCGCGCGCAGCGGCCUUUUAAGUCUGAUGUGAAAUCUUGCGGGCUCAACCCGCAAGCGGGCCAUUGAAAA